rnacentral:misc_RNA from 1 species
GAAAUGCGAUACUUAAUGUGAAUUGCAGAUCUUCGUGAAUCAUCAAGUUCUUGAAUGUAAACGACGGCGGUCGCUCUCGGGCGUAUCGCUGUACCUAUUCGAGUGUUAAUAUAUUCACCAUCAUUAAAAUAUACUUAGUAUAUUUAAUGGAAGUUGAGCUCCGGGCGAUAUUCACCCGUUGCUUUAAAUCGAUAUACCUUGUUUGAGUUAAGGGGUUUAACUCGGUUUCUUUCCGCUUCUUUUUCUAUCGAAAGGUUACGGGAUAAAAAGAUACGAGUAUAUUUUUUUAACUUAGCUAGGUUAAGCGAAUCAAAAAGGCCCGUAAUAAGGCUUUUAAUAUUAACAUUUUAAACGUUAACCUCAAAUAGGUACGAUAACCCGCUGAAUUUAA